GGCUGGAGUGUGUCCCAGGCCCCUGCCCCAUGACCCAGGAUGACCAGUGUGCUCUGUGGUACAUCUGGAGGCCACCAGCACUAGGACUGCUGCACUCCUAACCUUUGGGGUCAGUGCCUUGAAAUUCUCUCCUGCCUUUCAGGCUGGUUACUGUGAUUCAGUUCCCUCUCCCUUUCCUCCCUAGUUCUGUGUGUCUAUCCUCCACCUAAAGGUGGGCAUUGUCUAAAGCUGUCUGCUGGUCCUUCUGUGUUUCUUCACCUUUAGCCAUUUAUGCAAAGCCUUCACCUCUCACUUCUGUGCAGAUGUCUCCAACAUCUUAAAUGGAGCCUGACCCAUCUCAUAGUAACUAUCAAACUGAGCUUAUCCUUCUUCCUCUAAACCAGGCCCUUCUUCAGACUUGCUUUUUUCCUGUUAAACACUCCCAUUAUUUCCUGAGUCCAGGCUUCAAAACUGGCUUUGAACUCCUCCUAGGCAUAUAUUUCCUUUGCCCCAUUGACUGGCCUACUUGGAUACUUCUUUAUGUCCUUCUUUCCAUUUCCAAAGCCAUCUUCCUCUUUCUGGCCCUCAUUACCUAUUGCUUGGGUUGGUAUAGUGGCUUCUGCAGUAAUCUCCCCACCAUUCCUCCCUGCCAGCCAGCAAGAAGUGGGAGAAAGAAGGUGAGCUUUGUGAUUUGAAUUUGCAGUUAUUUCUGCUGUGGUUUUAAUUUCUUAAUCUCUCCAGAGUCUCAGUUCCCUGGCAGUAAGGUUAUGAUAAUAACUAUCAAGUCCCCGGCACAGUG
rnacentral:lncRNA from 1 species